rnacentral:lncRNA from 1 species
GUACAAAAAGUCGAAUAAAAGUCAGUGUCGAUAUUUCCUUCAUCAUCAACUAUAUCAUCUUCAUCAUCAUAUUGUGCUCAUGAUAACAUUUCUGCAAUUGUAUUGUCUUUUCUUGAAAUAUGCUUAAAUUCUAGAUUCAUAGAUUUUAUAUAUCCAAUCCAUCUUAAUAUUGCUAUAUCUAGUAUAGAACAACUAGUAAUCAUAUCUAAUAAGGAUAAACAAUCUAUUUCUAUAACUUCCAAUACACCAAUCAAAUAUUCUUUUUCAUUUUUCAUAGCUAUUACUAUACUCCAUAAUUUUCUUUUAAUUUGUGCAUAUGCCCUUUGCUUAGCAUUUAAAAUCCUUGCC